rnacentral:tRNA from 1 species
GGGCGAGUAGUUCAGUGGGAGAACGCUUCCUUGACACGGAAGAGGUCGUGAGUUCAAUCCUCGCCUCGCCCACCA